rnacentral:rRNA from 1 species
GAUCCUGCUCAGGAUGAACGCUGGCGGCGCGCCUAACACAUGCAAGUCGAACGGCACCCACCCUCGGGUGGAAGCGAGUGGCGAACGGCUGAGUAACACGUGGAGAACCUGCCCCCUCCCCCGGGAUAGCCGCCCGAAAGGACGGGUAAUACCGGAUACCCCGGGGUGCCGCAUGGCACCCCGGCUAAAGCCCCGACGGGAGGGGAUGGCUCCGCGGCCCAUCAGGUAGACGGCGGGGUGACGGCCCACCGUGCCGACAACGGGUAGCCGGGUUGAGAG